CCUUGAAGGUGUGUGGCAGCUGAAUGGGGUUAGUUCAAGGAGAGUCCAUCUCCUGGCGGAAGGCUUCGAAUCCUGCCAUCAUCUUUGUCUUGUUGGAGGAGAUGCAGCAAUGAGGUGGGGCUGUGCCGAAGGAUACUUUGUGAGCCAAGGGGAGCUCAGAUGACCCGAGAUGCAGGCUUUUUGGUUUUCUGCGGUUGGUGGCUGUAGAGAAGUUGUAGAAGUACGUUUUCUAUUUUGACUUUGGAGUAUGCAGUUGAAGAUGGAACUUGUGCAGUGGGUGUGCAUGCACUGGAUGGUAUCAAAAGCCUGUAAGAGUUUAGGUGACUGCAACAAGAAAAGAGUCUGGCCAAAGGAUCCACCCUCAAGCUUCAGUGGAUUAGGACUUCCACUGUAGAAGUAGAUGGUAAGGGUUACAGCAAGGAGACUGACUUCACACGAGUGAGAAGAAAACUGGCACACUUUAUUAGCCUCUGGUUGUUUUGGUUGACAAGUACAAUGCUGUCUUUGCUGAUCUGCUUCUUGUGCGUACAUAAAAAUUUCCAGAAAGCCCCCAACUUUGCAAAAGGGCUCCCCAUGCAAGUGCAGGAGUGUGGACUUCUGCAGUAGUUGUUCUCCUAGUACCUGAACAGGAAAGUGCUUGGCUCUGGGGACCUUAGCUGUGAAGAAGAAUUCCAAAGAGGACGCCUGCUGCUCUGUUGCUCUCCAUGCUCUCCGGCCAAAGAGUCCUUCUAAGAAAAAAGCCCCAAGAUGACAAAAACCCUUUUGAAAAGAAGAUGAGAAAAAACCUUGCCAAGUAUCCUGUCUUCAGGGUUGAGUUCCAUUGAAACCAGCCAGUGAAGGACAGCAGAACCGGAAUGGGCCUUGUACUGCAGCUCAGGUCGCGGUCACCUGCUGUAUGCAACUUCAAGGCAAUGCAUUUCAUAGCGUGCUCCGUGCUUGAUAAGCUCACAUUUGGUUAGCAGGCUCAGUGGGAUGGAUUUCUGUGACACAGAGAGGGAGUGAACGGGGAUCUUAACAGCACGUGGCAAAGAAAGGAGGAAAGAAGCUAUUGGAUGAACGCCCAGAAGUAAAAGAAGAAUUUGUGACAAUCAGAAAAAAUCUGUCUUGCACGCUUUCAGGAGCUACAGAUGAUAAAUGAGAGCUGAGGAAAAACUAAGAAGAGCUCACAACAGCUCCGGGUUCCUGAGAACCUGAGAAGAUGAUGAGGAACUCCACAGAUUUCUACUUGAGCUGUGUUACCAAAGCUCGUAGUGAUGACAACUGCACUGUAAGUAAUAAUCCAGGCUUCUCCCAGGUGCUGAUGGAUUCUAAAUGCCCUCCCUGUUCACAGAAGAACGUUAAGUGACAAAAGAUGGUCAAAUGAAAACCAUCUGCUCAAAGCAGAGUUAUGACAAAAAGAAAAUUCUCAGGAUAAAUAAAAGAUUAGACUAAUGAAAAUGAGACUGGCUUAAUUUAAUAGCGUAACAGCUCCAAUGUGCAUAAAAUGGUUAUGCCUGCACAGUUAGGUCUGCAUAAUGGUACAUGUGCCAUAAAGAUACUUUAGCUUAAAUAGUCCUCUGACACCUAUGUAAGUUUAUUGAAGAUGUGCGUUCAGUAUCUGACGGCAGACUUAAUUAUGCUUUCAGCUAGAAGUAUUCAGGCUGGGAGUAGGCAAUUUAGAACUUGCAAAACUAUUUUUAAAGCUCAUGUUAAGUUUAUGGCAAGUGAUAGAGUCAAUUUAAAAAGGAGAGGGAAAGUUAAACAAACAAAUAGUAGUAGAUACUUUCAGGCACAGCACCAUGUGAAAAUGACACUAGAUGUACUGUGACAGGAAGGACUGAUGUAUUUUAACAAGAACCCAGGUCUUCAGAGACACCUAAACACCAGCACACGGUUGAUUUGAGUAUCUUGAGCAUUAUGAAACAACUGCUUUGUGUUACCUUCUACGGGCAACCACUCUACUAGGAUGCAGUGUUGUGUGACUCCAACUGCCACAGCUUGUACUACUUAUUUUCUUCCUUCACGUUUAAAAGGUUACUGUGCAUGAAGACACAGUUCAAAGAGCAUAAGCUAUUUUUAGAGAAAUCAGUCUUUCCUGUGACUUUGCACAAAAGGCUUGCCUUUUGAUUAUGUACUUCACUUAAAGAUGUGAAAAAGCCGCUCCCAAAAACUGCAUUUUUCCAGGGCUUACUUUUCAGUAGUACUACUGUGAGCUUAAUUUUAAACAAUUAAAUUUCUGUUUUUGACAACAAGAAGUAGGCAGGAAUAGUGACAUGCUCCUGUUUUCCCCUGGUCUGUUCCAGGAAACUUUGCUGGGGGCUUGUCCACACUUGCUGACAGUUUUAGCUGUUCUAUUUUCUUUAAACACCAUCCAAAUGACAUGUAGAAUCUGAUUUAUUUUUCCUACUGCUAUUUUUUCAUUUAUAUUCCUGAGCAACGCAGCCAGCAUGGGGAAAAAAUCAGAGAGCAAGUCAAGAGGACAUGUACCUGGAAGACUUUUCCCAUGUAUCAUGUGUUGGAAGGAUCAGAGAGACAAACACCAGUAGCCUGCAUAGCUGCCACUAUUCUGAGUUAUAACAUGACGCUUGAUUCAAGCGCAGCCAACGACAAUCUCAGAGUGGUACCUUCUCCAAGAAUAAAAAUAUAGAGUGGUAAAUUUAAGCAAGAGCUCUGCUCGCUACACCCAUUUCAGCCAGAAAAACUGCAACAAGUUAUU